AAGAUUUAAAGAAGAUGACCCCAAUAAUUACACUUGCUAGUUCCUGAAUUGUAUUCACUGAAUAGAGAAUUUGGAACAUUGCUAUAUGAUACUAAUUAACCAAACAUUACCAUUCACAAAUCACCUACUGCUUAUAUAAAGGUUGAAACAAAACACAAUAUGCAAGGGAGGAGCUGCCGGUGAUGGUGCCUCCCUUUGUAUAAUACAUAAAGAAAAUGUAAAAUGCUGUGGAGAAAUUGUAACAAGUGGCUUCAGAGUUUAGAGUAUAACUUGGAUGAUCAGUCUAGAACACUCAAUGGUGCUUUGAGGCAGCCGGCGGUGGGCACUGGUAGCACUUGGCAAAGAGACCAAAUGUGUCAACUUGCUUGAUAAAAUUGGCCAUGCUAGCCCACCCUCCUAAUCCAAAACCAACUACAAGGACCCAUAUCACUAUAAAUGCAUUCACUACAUACAUGGCUGUCCAGCUAGGGAGGAAAAAUGGAGGCUUCUCCGCUGCAUUCUGUAUUUUCAAGAAUUACACGAUCAAUAAAAAAAAUUUACAAUUUGAGGGUGUAGACAUGAUUAAAUGUAUUAACUCUUGCAUUUCUUUUUUGGGUUUAUCAGAAACUUUUGAGGUCACCAGCCUAUUAGGAAUGAGACUGGCUACCUAAGCAGGGGCCGGUAGAGAGAGUUGGCAAGCCAGCUAUUUCCAAGAUAUUGCUAGUACAAAGAGUAUUAAGUAUGAGUAUACCACAUAACUGAUUGAAAAGGAAAUGCCACCAACCUCAGCUUGUCUCAAAUUUCCGAAUUCUAGCCAUUAAAUCACACUUGUGCGGCUAGAAAAAUUUUAAGUCACUUCAGAAGGUCAAGCUAAAGUAUCUAGUUGGUAAUCAAACACAACAAACCAACUCAACUACAUUUCUCUAAUGUAAAAAUCUUGAAUUGUUUCUCAAGAAUUAUUGCGUAGUUACUUUCAUCUAUCCAUAAUCCAUUUACUAUGAGGCUAGGCUAAUAUCACCAAAAUAAAGCAAUUAGGACCACAAUUAGACUUGCUAUAGUGAUCAAUAACUCAAGUAGAAGAUUUGCCUAUCAGCAUCCAUAUCUAUCACAUUGGCUAUAAGAAAGCGAGACAUGUAGUAAUGGACUGACAACUUUGUGAUACUAUUGGACAAUGCCAACCAGAUGUAUCGUACAUGUAUUAGUAUAGCUAGCUGCUGCAGAGAAGAAGGGACCAUUUACCUGUCGAGCAGAGGCAGAUCGAUAAGUGAGCAUAUGAGCUAAAGAAGGGAUGAUGUAGACGGUGAAGCUAACCAAAAGUGCCCCCACAGCUGAGUUAAUGGGACCAAAGAAAGGAAAUAUGAUAGCCAAGAACCAUAUAGGUAUGACUACAGGCAACCUGGUUAAUGCCCUCAAAAAUAUGCUCUUAGUAUCAUGCAUCCCUACCACUUUCUCCCACACAAAAUACAGUGGUGUACAUGCGAAUCCGAAUGUUAUGAACUGAUGGAUGAGCAUGAGGAUAACUGCAGCAUCACGCCAUCCGGAAUUGGGAAGAAGUGAGAAUGCAUUCGAGUGGGUGAGAAGUUGAUCACCGAAUGCCCAGUAGACAGCGGUAGCUGAUGGAAUUGUUAAGGUGAAAACAUACAUGGUGGCAAGGAGAUAUAUGUACUUGAACUUCUGAGGCUUCCACAUUGCAUGCAUAAUUUC
rnacentral:misc_RNA from 1 species